rnacentral:rRNA from 1 species
UACGGGGGGGGCAAGCGUUGUUCGGAAUUACUGGGCGUAAAGGGCGUGUAGGCGGCCAACUAAGUCCGACGUGAAAUCCUCAGGCUUAACCUGGGAACUGCGUCGGAUACUGGAUGGCUUGAAUCCGGGAGAGGGAUGCAGAAUUCCAGGUGUAGCGGUGAAAUGCGUAGAUAUCUGGAGGAAUACCGGUGGCGAAGGCGGCAUCCUGGACCGGCAUUGACGCUGAAGCGCGAAAGCUAGGGGAGCAAACGGG